AUUGAACGCUGGCGGCAGGCUUAACACAUGCAAGUCGAGCGCGCGGCGGCCGGGUGUGUAAUGUCUUGGAAACUCCCUGAUGGAGGGGGAUAACUACUGGAAACGGUAGCUAAUCCCGCAUCCCAUCAUCUGUGCCCUGAUGGCAUUAGCUAGUAGGUGGGGUAAUGGCUCACCUAGGCGACGAUCCCUAGCUGGUCUGAGAGGAUGACCAGCCACACUGGAACUGAGACACGGUCCAGACUCCUACGGGAGGCAGCAGUGGGGAAUAUUGCACAAUGGGCGCAAGCCUGAUGCAGCCAUGCCGCGUGUGUGAAGAAGGCCUUCGGGUUGUAAAGCACUUUCAGCGGGGAGGCGUGAAGCGAAGAAGAAGCACCGGAUAACUCCGUGCCAGCAGCCGCCGGUAAUUG
rnacentral:rRNA from 1 species